GGUUGCUGUUGCGCAUGCGGGCGCGCACGCGUGGUAUGCUGUGGCGGGGAGAUAUGAGAUAGGAAGGCGGUUGUCAGCACGGUGCUAACUAAACUACGUCCAUCAACGGCAUUUCCCCUUGUCCUGUACGAAGUCGCUCCUCUUCCUGCUUAUAACCUCCCUUCAAAUACUGGAAGGCUGCAAUGAGUUCAACCUGGAGCUUUCUGCAGGCUGAACCAACCUAACUCCCUCAGCCUUUUUAUGCAGAAAAGGUACUCCAGUCCUCCAAUCUUCGUGGCUCUCCUUGGGACCCACUCCAGCAGCUCCAGAUUCUUGUACUGGGGGCCCCAGGUCUGGAUGCAGUACUUCUGUGCUUACAAGUUUGAAUAAAUGGUUGUGUACAAGA